CGGGUGAGUAACGCGUGAGGAACCUGCCUCAAAGAGGGGGACAACAGUUGGAAACGACUGCUAAUACCGCAUAAGCCCACGGCUCGGCAUCGAGCAGAGGGAAAAGGAGUGAUCCGCUUUGAGAUGGCCUCGCGUCCGAUUAGCUAGUUGGUGAGGUAACGGCCCACCAAGGCAACGAUCGGUAGCCGGACUGAGAGGUUGAACGGCCACAUUGGGACUGAGACACGGCCCAG
rnacentral:rRNA from 1 species